GUGGCCCCAACUUUUGCCUAGUGAAAGAGCCAACAGCUCUAUUUGUUUGAGGGGCCUAUAAAUAGUUGUUGGUCGGCUUGGGGCUCACUCUCUUUGCAUUCUUGACUUCUAGACAUCCUUGUGAGCCUAAGCAAACACUUCCCACUCAUCACCUUUGUAGAUUAAUCAUCUUUAUGAGAUUGGGAGUGGUUCUAAGUGCAUUUGCUUGAGUGAUUGCAUCUAGUGGCACUUGGGGUCGAUUUGGCUGCGGUUUUCUUGUUACUCUUGGUGCUUGCCGUCACCUAGAUGGCUUCGAGCAACGGAGGAGCAUUGGCACAAGUUGGUGAUUGUUUGUGGCCAUCUCUGAGUGAUUAUGAGGGGUUUUGUACCUUCCUGGACGAAGAGCUAAAAGGUAACUCUAGUAAAUUGCUUGUGUCAUUGAGUUACCUCACUUGUGGGUCAGUUCUUGCGGUGUCGUAGUGAGGACGAGGUACGUGCUACACCUCUUAGCCGUCGAGUCACCAAGUGUUGGUCGACACAAUGGGAAUGUAGCGUGCCGGCAAGCACGUGAAUCUUGGGAGAAAAUUGUGUGUCUCUAUAGUGAUUGUUCAUUGGAUUUCUCCCGGUGAUUGAACAUUAUAUUGCUGUGAUUGGUUGACCCCUCUACGCGGCAGUAUAAAGAUUAAACCCUCUCUUUUAUAUUCUCGCAAACUAGAGUAGCUUACUUACUUGUAUAGAAACUUUAGGUAGCUCUCUAGUGUAAGCAAAGACUUAGUUCUUGUGUGCCUAGUGAUUAUAGCAAUUAGAAUUGUUGGUUAGAUGGCUUGCAAACACCUCUUUAGAGCUAGAGCAAAAAGCUUCACCUUGUUAUUUACUAACAUCUUGCUCUAGUGAGUUUGUAGAAUUUUUUAAAUAGGCUAUUCAUCCCCCUUUAGCCAUAUUAGGACCUUUCAACAUGAAUACGUUACAAGCACUCUGGAUUACAUAAAUUUUCAGAAAAAAUCAUCUAAAUCAUAUCCAAACUAUGAAUAGCUCCAUAUCUCAAAAUCAAACCUAUACGACGCUUUGCAGUAUGGAUGACCGCAUAGGUGAACACUUGGAAAAAUUUUAAGAACAGAUGUCCAACAAACGAUGACCAACAUUCAUGUAAACGGAGUUAUGAAACUUCUUCUUUCUAAUGCCUUUCUUUUUUUUGUUCUACCACCAAAGAAUGAGAAAGACUGAUCUAAAAUUUAUUCUCCCUAGUCCUUCAUCGUGGCCAGAUCUAACCACGAUAAAACGGGGAAGAGACCGGAGAAAAUUGUUCCAUGGAGACGACACCAUCUCCGUAGCAACACCUCAAAAUUUGGUCCUUUGAAAAUAGAGCUAAAAUAAUUUAAUUUUGUAUUUUUAUGCUCAUAAAAUUAUAGAAAAAUAAUAUUUUCAUUAAAUUAAAAUAUAUCAUAAGACUUAGCUUGAUUGUUGUGCAUACAUGCUGAUGCAUAUGAGUUGAUAUUUGCUUGUUGCUUCUUUAUAUGUUGAGAGUGAGAAAAAUGUAUGAAAUGCGUUUAGUAGGUCGGUCUCUUUUCUCCAGCAAGUCUACAAUCAAAUUCUUUGUUUCCGAGCUUAGGCUUUCUUUCAAAUUUUCUCAAGUUCUUCUUGUUAUAAUCUAUAUUCUUUUAGUCAUCGACCAUCAAGCGAUCUUUUAGAAAUUUUUUCGGCUUUUUCCGGAACUUGUUCCCACUUGAUCGUGAGUAUAAUCUAACUUUUAGAUGCUCCAAAUUAUCUUAUCACGAGAUCCAAAUACUUUAUUUGGGUUUUUCAUGUUCCAUAAUAUCUUCAAGAAUUUUCACUAAAUUUCGGAGCUUCUAGGUUUUUUGGCUUAGAUAAUAAUUCUGGACUUUUCUGAAUUCAUUUUAUCUAUAAAAUUAAUUAAUUCUGAAAAAAAUAAUAUUUUCCUUUUUAGUGCUCAACGUCCAUGCGAAAUAAUUCUUAUAAAUCUUAAAAAACCAGACACGAGAUUGAAAAAUUAAUAUAUAUUAGGGUUCUGUUCCUAUUCCACGCGCUGCCGCCCAAGAUCAAUCUACCGCUGAGAAAUUUCUAUCCGUGAUGUCAAUCGGCGACUUCAAGUCGGCUAGCAUCGAGUCCGGCGGACUUCUCUAUAUCAAGGCCUUGUUUACUUUCCAAAUAUUUUGCAAAAUUUUUACAUUUUGUUCAUCCCAUCAAAUCUUGUAAUACAUGUAUAAAACAUUAAAUAUAAAUAAAAAAUAACUAAUUACACAGUUUAUCUGUAAUUUGCGAGACGAAUCUUUUGAGUUUAGUUAGUCUAUGAUUAGACAAUAUUUGUUAAAUACAAAUAAAAAUACUACUAUUUCUAUUUUGCAAAUUUUUUAAGCUUGCAUCUAUAUCUGCUGCCGCACGAGUCGGUCUUGAUCUGUUUUUGCUGCGGUGCCUGUCGCUGAGGCCUUGUUCUCAGUUCCUAAAAUUUUGGGUUUUCGAGCAGUGUAGCACUUUCGUUUUUAUGGACUAACUAAGUUUAAAAGAUUCAUCUCGUGAUUUAUAGACAAACUGUGCAAUUAGUUUUUAUUUUCAUCUAUAUUUAAUGCUUUAUAUAUGUGCCAUAAGAUUCGAUGUGAUGGAAAAUCUUAAAAUUUUUUAGAAACUAAACAAGGCCUGAGUUAUUAAGCGAGUGUUUAGUUGGGGUUGGUAAAGUUUAACAGGUACUCUCUCCGUCCCAAAAUAAGUGUCGUUUUCACUUUCCGAGAAAUAACUUUAACUAAAUAUAUAAUACAAAAUAUUAAUAUUUAUAAUACAUAAUUAAUAUCAUUGGAAAGAUCUUUAAGUCUAGUUUUUUAACAAAUUUAUUUAAAGAUAUAAAUAUUGCACGUAUUUUCUAUAAAUCGAGUUAAACUUGUGGCACGAAAACCUAAAACGACACUUUUUUUGGGACGGAGGGAGUACUAUAGUAUUUUCGUGUUAUUUAUAAAUUAUUGUCUAAUCAUAUACUAAUUAGAUUUAAAAGAUUCAUUUCAUAAAUUAUUCUCUAACUAUAUUUUUUGUUUUAUAAAUAAUUUAUAUUUAGUAUUCAAUACAUGUAUUUAAAUAUUCGAUGUGACGAAGGAAGGAAGGAAACCAAGACGUGCUGCGCGCCUACUCGUGUGUGCGCUACCACUGCAGUUUAGGUCUUGUUUAGUCCGAAAAAAUUUCGGAUUUCGCUAUUGUAGCACUUUCGUUUUUAUUUGAUAAGUAUUGUCCAAUCAUAAACUAAUUAUGAUCAAAAGAUUUGUCUCGCGAUUUACAGACAAACUGUGUAAUUAGUUUUUGUUUUCGUCUAUAUUUAAUACUUUAUGCAUGUGUCAUAAAAUUCGAUGUGACGAGAAAUCUUGAAAAUUUUUUGGAUUUGGGGUGAACUAAACAAGGCCGGGAGGAGGAAAAAUCAAUCCUGUUGCUGUGCGCUACUGUUCCUAGCCAGAGGGAUCAUGAUGAAUUUCUUUUUGUCGCACGCGGCCUGCUGCUGCACGCCAGGCAGCAGCCAUGCUGGUGUUCGUGAUCCAAUAGUUUCACUUUUCGUGGUGGAAAAGAAUAGCAAACUUUGCUAGAUGCGCACAAAAGGAGUACUAGUGUUGUUCAACAGAUUUGCCGGACGGUACAUAUCUGCUCCUCUCUUUUAUCCUUUGAUUUUCUUGCAAAUUCCCAAAGUCUAUAGUUAAUCUCGCUUAAGAAAUCUUUUAACGUUUAUCUUUAUAGCUCCGCUUUGCUCAAUUCAUUAGUUUCGUUUGUAACAGUAAUGUUAAUUUAUCACAUGUCUCUAUACAUAAUUUAUGAUUUAAUUAUUAAUUAUUAUGGGUAUGAUUUGUUUUAUAAUUUAAAAAUAAAAGAAAUACAUAGUAGUUACACUUCAAUAUUUUAUAUGCAAAUAUUAAAAUGAUUGAAUUACUAUCACUAGUGUGUUUUAAAAUUAUAAUCUGAUUAGAUUCAACUCGAGUUAUUUGCAAUUUAAACGUAUGUUCACAUAUAUUUAAUUUAUUUUAACAAAUUAAGUUUAAUUAAUCUAAAUGCUACAUAUAUAUUUCUAAAUGAAAUAUGAUUAGUUUAACUCGAUUUUUUUAAAAUUAAAGUAUGUUUUGACUAACUUGAGUUAAUAACCUUUAUAUGGUUUUGCUCAACUAAAAUAAAUCGAGCUCGUAGUUGUUUUGUUUACGUUAUAAAUAUUCUGGUAGUCGUUUCUUUUAACAAUAGUUUCAGUUCCGGUGUUUCUCUUGACCAUAGCAAUAGUUAUCUUUUGGCACGCUGUUUUUGAGCCUUUUUGCUUUGAUUGGUGUAAUGUUCUUAGUUAAUCUUUUCCUUGUCUAUUUGUAUUGCCUAUAUGUAGUGUUUGCUACGAGUAGAUGGAAACUGUUUGUGGGCGCUGAAGAUCAGGAGGUGAUGACUGAAAUUUGAUGGUGUGAGAAUUGAGCAAGUAUUUAAGACAAGUAUAACAUUGGGUUUUCUUUCUGUGAUCAUGAUCUUGUGACUUGAUUAAUGCUUAAGCAACAAACGAUAAAAAUGACUUUUUAGCAACUUGAGGAUUUGUCUGUACGUGAUCACCGGGGAUUGACAGUGCAACCACGAGGGCUAUAAUGGCGCUGGCUUUAGCUCAGUAUAAAGACCUUUUCUAGCUUGUUAGCGGUUACCUUAAAUAGCGUAAGAAUGGCUAGACACGUUGGGUAUAGUGCAUCCUCUGUCCUUAUAUGUAUAGGCUGCGUGUUAUGUGCCAUGGAAGGCAGCUCUAUAUCUGUCUGCCAAGUGAAUCUAAUGGCCCUAACUUGUUAGACAAACCUUUGAAAGGCUUCAUAGUGAUCCUUGUCGACCUCCCUAGGAAGGGGGUUAAGAGACUAGCUACCUCGGGCGAAAGAAUAAAUUAUGACUCAUGGGUAAAGAUAUAUAACCUCUGCAGAGUGUUUAAAACUGGUAUACUAGCCAUGCUCAUGGAUACGAGCGGCCUUGGGGACAUUUACAUUAAGGGUGAUGAUUCUUGUUGUGUUAAGAUGCUCAUUGUUUAUUGUUUAAUGCUUUACAUUAUUUAUGUCACAUUGAUCAUGAGAUUGUGGGAUCUAUACAAUCCUAUUGCUAUAUUUGCAGAGUUCGACACGGACUCACUCUUGCUAUUCUCCCAUACUUCAGGAGGAGUGUUAGGCUUGUGAUCAACCAGGCAGUUUGGAUCCUGUAGAGUUGUCACACCCAAAUUUCAAGAACGAAAUAGAGUGCAUAAAAGACUCAUAUGUGCCCCAGAAACAGUCGCACACAUAAGUAGACAAAUCUCAAAUGUAUCAUUGCAGUGUUCAUUACAUAGCGGAACAAUAACUACUAAAUAGUCUCAAACAAAUAAAGAUACUCUCGACGGAAGCACCACACAAGGACACUAUUGACUGGUUGACUCCAAGCCUAGCACUCGUAACGGUAGUCCUCAUUCCAAACAUCAUCAUUUGCAUAACCUAGGGUGUUGGGAAAUUGCAAGAGUGAGCACAUAUCGUACUCAACAAGUAUAACCAGGGGUUCAUGAGGCUCAAAUAGCUGACACUGGUUUGACUGCAUUUAGCUUUUAUAUGUAGGUAGCAUAUUUGUAUUUAGAUAGUAAAUGUCAAGGUAGCAUAAUUAAAUCCCAUAACCACAUGAUCAUUGUAUACAAGAAUUAAGAAUAACACAUAUAAACAACUUAAUAAACCAUCAUUUAUCAUCAUUAAUCAUGUUCAUCAGUGUCCAUCUAUUCCGUCAGUUUUUCGGGCCGUCCGUAUCCGUGGGCACGGCUAGUAUACCAGAUUUAACACUCUGCAGAGGUUGUACAUCUUUACCCAUGAGUCGUGAUUUACCCUUUCGCCCGAGGUUGCAAGUCUCUUAACCCCCUUCCUAGGGAGGUCGGUAGGGAUCACUAUGAAGCCUUUCAAAGAUUUCGUCUAACAAGUUAGGGCCAUUAGAUUCACUCGGCAGACAGAUAUAGAGCCCCCCUUCCAUGCCACAUAACUCGCAGCCUAUACACACAGACAGAGGUCGCACUAUACCCAACGUGUCUAGCCAUUCUUACACCAUUUAAAGUAACUACUAACAAGCUAGAAAAAGGUCCUCAUACUGAGCUAAAACCAGAGCAAUAUAGCCCUCAUGGUAGUACGAGUUGUCCCAGCUUUUGCCAAGGAAUAAGUCCUUAUGGAGGGUCAAGAUCAAUCUAGCAAAAGCUAGAGUUCUUUCCACCCUUUAUGUUCAAGUAGCUAGAAAGCUUAUUUUAUUGUUUAUUGUUUAUCCAAAUAUUCAUGUUACAAGAUCAUAGAUUAUAACCAAGCACUAGCAAGAACUACCCAAUUGCAUAUCCAAAUAGGUAACAAGGAAUUUAGGAUAACAAACAUCUAUGAUUUUACUAAGGUCAUCAAGGUGGACACAUGCAUAUGAUAUAUUGUAUUAAUUGUGUAUAGGUAACAAGGAUGAUCCCAAGUUAUACUUGCCUUGAUCAAAGCUCUCCUGAGCCUGCUGGUCAUCAAAAGAUUGGCCUUGAUCACCAACGUAAAGCUCACCGACUAAACUCGAUCAUCAAUCAACAACACGCAUUCCAAUGAACAAUCAUACACAAAGCAAACGAGUUAUAAUUUGAACAAUACACCAACAGUGAUAAAACAAAUUUAAAAGUUUAUAAAAAUAAUCUAUACAGCGCUACGAUCACAUAAACGUAAAGUUCACGAAAAUCGAAAUUAAAACGGAGAAGUUAUGAAUUUUCUAAGAUUUCCUAUAGAAUAAUAAUUAAUUAAAUAGUACCACGAAAUUAAAAAGUUUCAAACUGGUGAUAGAAUACUUCUAACAUGUAGAGUUCACAAAGACAAAACUAACGCAAUUUGAAUGGGUCAAAACGGAGUUAAAAUGAGCAUUUUAUGACCUAAGGAAACUCAAUGGCAUUUUUAUAAAUUUUGGAAAACAUAUUCUGGUGUUAACCCGAGGCUUUACGCUUCUCCAAGAGCAAAGUGUAUUCUCUCAAAGGCGCCAUGGACUACGGGUUCUAAUUGGGACAAGACGAGGGUCUCUUUAGCAAUUGUCGCAGUCGAAAGGGUAUCAACCACCCUAGGUCGUUGGAUCAGCGAGGGACGGCUCAAAUUAGAUGCAAGAGAGAUAGAAGGGGGACUCGGCCGCCGGCGUGGCUCUCCACGGUGGCGCCAUGGCCGCAGCCCUGAGAACUCGCUGGAGCUCAUGGCCUCGGUGAUUUAGGGCACCAUUUUAUGAACCAAUAGCAUGGGAAGGACGCGGGGCUCCUUGCGAACUCACCAGUGCUCUUAUCGCGACCCGAGGGAGCUAGGAAGGAAACGGCCAUGCAUGGGAAGCUCGGUGGGAUCCACUCCUCGACGUCGGUGGCGGCUAGGGCUUCUCAGACGCUCUUAGAUCGAAAAAGUGGGUGCGGGGUGGGGCCAGGAGCGUAUAUAGUGCUCGGUUUGCGCUUGAACUAGGAAAUCGCAAAGAGUUCGGGAUUGGUUGCCAUCGGGUGUCCGGCUCGGUGACAGCGCGAGGAGGGAGAUGGAGGAGGACGCCGACGUGUGGACCCCAUGUGUCAGAGGCUAGAGAGAAAGGGGAAAGGGUCAGGCGCGCGGCUGGGCCGUUGGCUCUAGGUUUAGGCCAGGUGGGGGGCUGGACUGCCGCUUGGGUAGCUGGGCCGAGCGAGGGAGAGGUGCCGAGCUGGCUUCAUGCUGGGCCGAGCUACUGCUGCUGUGCUGGGCUAGGGUUUUCCCCUUUUUUUUCUAUUUUCUUUUCUAAAGUCUUUUCAAAUAGAUAAUGAAUUCCUUUAGACUUUAAACAAAAACACACAGCAUAAAAAUUACAUAUGCUCUAGCAUGAAUGCACCAACAUGUUUCUAUCCCUAUGUUGGAUUUUAUUUUCAAUAAAAUUUAUUUAUUUACUAAUUUAAAUGCUCACAAAAAUGCUUAAAUAAAUCAAAUUUAAUCCUAGUAAUUAGAAAGCAAAUUUUUGGGUGUUACAAACUCUACCCCCUUAAAAGAAUCUCGUCCUCGAGAUUGAACGGUGCUCGAACAACUGUGGAUAUGAUUUUCUCAGAUCAUUGUCUCUUUUCCAAGUCACUUCUGCUUCUGAAUACCGAUUCUAUUGUACUUUACACAUUUUGAUGACCUGACUCCUAGUGACUCUUUCAGCUGUUUCCAAGAUCUUUACCGAAUAUUCCUCAUAUGUGAGAUCCCCUUUUACAGUAAGCUCUUCCAAUGGUAUUUGUUCUUCUCGUACUCGCAAACACUUUUUAAGUUGUGACACAUGGACCACAUCAUGCACACCAGACAAACUUUCAGGCAACUCUAGCUGAUAAGCCACUUCUCCACAUCUUUGUAAAACUUUAAACGGACCAACAUACCUUGGAGCUAGCUUUCCUUUCAUAUUAAACUUCUUCACACUCUGCAUGGGUGACACUUUCAGAUAAACAUAGUCACCUUCCUCAAAAGCUAGUUCUCUCCUACGUGUAUCUGCAUAGCUUUUCUGACGAGACUGAGCAACUCUCAGAUUAUCCCGAAUUAUCCGUACUUGUUGUUCUGCAUGUCUAAGCACAUCUGGACCAAACACUUGAGUCUCUCCAGUUUGAUUCCAAAACAAAGGUGUUCUACACUUACGACCAUAUAAUGCUUCAAACGGUUCCAUUUUAAGACUUUGUUGAUAACUGUUGUUGUAGGAAAACUCUGCAUAUGGCAAACUCUUAUCCCAACUGGUUCCAUAUUGCAAUGCACAGGCUCUCAACAUAUCUUCUAGUAUCUGAUUGAUCCUCUCUGUCUAUCCAUCUGUCUGAGGAUGAUAAGCUGUACUAAAAUUCAGUUUUGUACCCAAAGAAUCAUGCACUUUCUUCCAAAAAGUAGUGGUGAACCGAGUUCCUCUAUCAGAUACAAUCUUCUUAGGCACUCCAUGCAAACAUAUUAUUCUCUCCAUAUACAAUUCUGCUAAUUGAGCUCCUGAAUUAGUGGUUUUGACUAGCAAGAAGUAAGCAACUUUAGUCAAUCGAUCCACUAUUACCCAUAUUAAGUCAUAUCCUCUCUGAGUACGAGGCAAACCCACUAUGAAAUCCAUGCCUACUUCUUCCCACUUCCAUUCAGGAAUCUUCAUUGGUUGCAAUAGUCCAGCUGGCCUCUGGUGUUCAGCUUUCACUCGCUGACAAGUAUCACACAAAGCAACAUAUUUAGCUACAUCUCUCUUUAAUCCAUACCACCAAUACUUCUCCUUAACAUCUAGAUACAUCUUAGUACUACCAGGGUAAAUAGAGUAAGCUGAUUCAUGGGCCUCUCACAGAAUCAUAUCACGAAUAGCCUUCACUUCAGGAACAUAUAUCCUUUUUCCAAACCACAGUACAUCAUUGUCAUCUAUUCUGAAUCCUGGUGCUUUACCUAGUACCACAUUCUGUGCUAUCUCCUUCAGUUUCUCAUCCUCUAACUGACCUUUCAAUAUCUCUUUCUCUAAGUGUCGACGAAAGCUAGUCGGCAGUCUACCUUGGGGUAUACCCACGGUAGUAGUUUAUCGGUAGACGGUGCGCAAACUACGAACUUGAUGGUGACGCAAGACACGGACAAGCUUUUUAUCCAGGUUCGGCCGCCGUGUAGGCGUAAUACCUACGUCCUGCGUCUGAUUGUAUUGGAUUGUAUUGAGAGAAUAAUGUGUAACCUGUCCUCUAGGGGACCCCUGCCCCUCCUUAUAUAUCCUGAAGGGACAGAGUUAAAAGCAAAGUAUCCUAUUUGGUACAAUAUCUUGUAGCCUUCUGGUGCACGCCGACUAGUCGUGCGCCGCACGUCUUCAUCUUGUGGGCCGAGCCACCUCUGAUGGUGCGGCCCAUAUUGGCCCAUGAGGGUAUAGGGGUUUAUCCCCCCCACACUAAGGUUGGAGUUACUUCUAUUUCCAUGGCAUUAACAACUAUGCCUAGAUUCAAAUGAGCAAAUUCAGCACACAACUCAUCAGAUUUUGGUGUCGCCCAAAGCUCAUUAGCAUAUUUCUUCCUACUAAGUGCAUCGACCAUGACAUUUGCUUUUCCAGGAUGAUAAUGCACUUCUAAAUCAUAAUCCUUUAUCAAUUCCAACCAUCUACGUUGCCUCAAAUUCAGAUCUGUGUGGGUGAAAAUAUAUUUCAAACUCUUAUGAUCCGUAUAUAUGUCACUCUUAUGCCCAAUCAAAUAGUGUCUCCAGAUCUUUAGUGCAUGAACCACAGCUGCUAACUCUAGAUCAUGAGUAGGAUAAUUCAGUUCAUGCUUCCUCAACUAUCUAGAUGCAUAUGCUACAACUCUACCUUCUUGCAUAAGAACACAACCCAAUCCCAGACGAGAGGCAUCACAAUAAAUAGAGAAACUCUUGCUCAGAUCUCGCAAUACUAACACAGGUGCAGUAGUCAACCUCUUCUUAAAUUCCUUAAAACUAGCUUGACAUUUAUCAGACCAUACAAAAUUUGCAUUCUUCUCUAACAGAGCAGUCAUAGGCUUUACGAGUUUUGAAAAUCCUUCAAUGAAUCUACGAUAAUAACCAGCUAGACCAAGAAAACUGCAAAUUUCACUUAUAUCUAUAGGCGGUUUCCAAUUCAGCACAUCUUUCACCUUACUAGGAUCCACUGCAAUACCACCAUUAGAGACAACAUGACCAAGAAAAGAAACUUCUUCCAACCAAAACUCACAUUUACUAUGCUUAGCAUACAACUUAUGUUCUCUAAGUUUCUGUAAGACCAAUCUCAGAUGUUCAGCAUGUUCUUCCUUUGUUUUAGAGAAUAUCAAUAUAUCAUCAAUAAAUACCACCACAAACUUAUCAAGAUACUCCAUAAAUACUUUAUUCAUCAUGUACAUGAAGUAAGCUAGUGCAUUGGUCAAACCAAAUGACAUAACUGUAUACUCAUACAACCCAUACCUUGUUGUGAAAGCUGUCUUUAGUAUAUCCAAAUUCCGAAUCUUCAAUUGAUGAUAACCAGAAUGCAAAUCAAUCUUAGAGAUCACACAAGCACCUCUCAGCUGAUCAAAUAAGUCAUCAAUUCUAGGCAAUGGAUACUUGUUCUUGAUAGUAACUUCAUUGAGUGACCGGUAAUCAACACACAUUAUCUGACUUCCAUCUUUCUUAUCAACAAAGAUAACUAGAGCACCCCAUGGUGAAGAUCUAGGACGAAUGAACCCUUUAUCUUGCAAUUCCUUUAUUUACUUCUUAAGUUCUUCUAACUCAUUAACCCCCAUUCUGUAUGGUCUUUUGGCUAUAGGUGCAGUACCAGGUAGUAAUUCAAUUAUAAACUCGAUGUCACGGUCAGGUGGCAUACCCGGCAAUUCAUCUGCAAAUACAUCUGGGAAUUCAUUCACAACACGGUCCUAAGGUUUAGCAUCAUCAUCCAACUGGUUCACUAUAGCUGUCUUUUGUUUCUGCACCUCAACCUUGAGUCGGUCUCCAGUAGGUGAUGUUAGUUCCAUUACUUCCCUUCACACUUAAUCUUUGCAUCUUGUUGCAUCAUCCAAUCUGUACCCAAUAUGAGAUCAACUCCAGCUAUCCUCAGCACUAUGGGGUUCACUUUAAAGUCUACCCCCUUAAAGUCAAAUUAACUGGAAAGCAACAAUGUGAAGCUGGUAUAGUCCCUUCUAGUGAAUUUAUGAUUAUGGGGCUUUUCAUGGCACAAGUAGGUAUAUUAUGUGUUCUAAUGAAAGCUUGUGAUAUGAAUGUAUGCGAAGCUUCGAAUCAAAAAGAACGGUAGCGGGAGUGGAAUGGACAUCAAACAUACCAAUCAUAACUUUAGGUUCCUCCACAGCUGUCUCUGCAGACACAUGAUUCACUCUUCCAGCGUUAGGUGUCCGAUUGUUCUCCUGGUUGCUAUUUUGCCCUUGGGAAUUCUGUGGGUUCAAGUUCUCUAGACAAUUAUAAGACAUAUGUCCCACCUUUCCACAGCGGAAACACCUGUUAGGAGUGUUGGGAGCACUGUUCUUCCUAAGGGUGGAAUUAGGAUUCCUUGGUUGAGGUGUCUGUCGACCAUCCUGCUGCUGAUAAGAGUUACGCUGCUGAUAAUGAAAGCACUGAUUCUCACUCUGUGGUUGAUUCUGAAAAUGUUGGGGAUACUGAUCAUGGUUCCACUGACUAACUGGUUCCUGAUAACUCGGAUGGAAACCCUGAUGAGAGCCGAAGCGAUGGCGGUUAUUACUACCCGAACUUUGUCCUUGCAUUCUCCUCUUCCGAUCCUGACUCUUGCGCAUAUCAUCCAGCACAAUGGCACGGUUCACCAGGGCUUGGAAAGUAGGGUAAGUGUUUCCAACCAACUGCAAUCUGAGAUCAUAAUAAAGGCCUUUCAUAAAUAGAUGCUGCUUAUCAACAUCUUCCCUGACCUCAUUCGGAGCAUAGCGAGCCAGCUGCGCAAAGGCAUCAUGAUACUCUGCAACGGUCAUAGAGCCCAUUCUGAGUGAUCUAAACUCCUCCUGCUUUAUUUCUAUCAUCCCUUCAUUGAUGUGACGUGCCUUAAAAUCUCUGUAGAAUUCAUGCCAAGUGACGGUGGGAGCAUUAUUAGGACGAGCAGCUUGGUAUGAUUCCCACCAAGUAUGAGCUGCUCCCUGUAGCUGUCCAGAAGCAUAUAACACCUUCUCUAGAUCAUUGCACUGAGCUAUGUUUAACUGUCUUUCCACAGCACGCAACCAAUCAUCUGCUUUCAUAGGGUCAGUAGACUGAGUAAACACUGGAGGUCGUCCUUUCAUAAACUCUCCACGCUUAUCCAACACAUAGAUAGGUGGUGGUGGAGCUGUAGGCUGGUGCUGAAGAUGUUGUAGAAAUGCAUUCAUCAUCUCGUUCUGUGUAUGCAUUAGUUCCUCCAUAGAGAUUGGGGCAUUAGCACCCCUACCACGACCUCUACCUCUGCCUCUUCCUCUUUCUCUUGCUGCCAUCUGCAUUCCAAGGUACAGAAACAUAUCUCAGUAAUAUCCAACAUGAUAAAUACAAGAGAUAGUUGAAUCUGAAUUUUUCUGGGCGACAUCCAACAUUAGUAGUUGAGAAAAUCAGUCAUAUCUCGAGUUCCGGAAACCAAAAGGUUACAUUCUGUAACCGUUGGAAAGAUAAAGAGAUUAUCUACAACUUUCAUUUAGACCAUAUUAACAGAUUCUGUCGUUAAAUUAGUCAAAACUGGGCAUAACCAAAACUGUUCCAGAAUUCUAGAUUGAGCAGAAACCUCAACUUUGAACAGUUAUAUCUCACAGACCAUAAUAGCUAAUAAUGUCAUUCUUGCUGAAUUGGAAAGAUCAUGAAGUCUAGUUGUUCCCAGAAACGUUUGAUAAACUUUGCACAAACAGAAUUUGAGAUAUGCCAGAAUUAGUGCAGACUGCUCCAGAAAACAGCAAGGUAUAGAAACAGAAUUUAACCAACCCAACUAUUUAGUUCAUUAAUCCUUAUGUCUUAGGCCUAUAAACUAAAUGAAAUUGUGGAGAAAAUCCACAAGAUUAUUACACUCAUUACAAAGAUCCAAGUCAAACAUAAGCAUAAUAACAAACCAAACCAAGCAUCAAAGGUUCACACUUCAAGCAUUAACUCAACUUGCGGUACUAUCGUUGUCUUCCUAUUAAGGGUAAAGAUCCUAAAACUCCUAUUUCAAUGACGCCAGAAGGCAGUAAGAAAAGUUAUAAAAGCAUAUCAAGAAAGGAGUGGGGAUGAGAACUAGUCUUUAAAAUAAGCAACAAGGUGAGGAUGAAUAGCAAUGAAAAGGUUAUAGUAUAGGAGAAAAUAUCAAGGUUUAUAGAACAAGGAUUGUAUAGCAAUUUCAAAACCUUAAGACGGCCAAUAUCUAACUAGGCUUGCGUCCGAUAGUCAAUAAAGCUUUGAUACCAAUUUGUCACACCCAAAUUUCAAGAACGAAAUAGAGUGCAUAAAAGACUCAUAUGUGCCCCAGAAACAGUCGCACACAUAAGUAGACAAAUCUCAAAUGUAUCAUUACAGUGUUCAUUACAUAGCGGAACAAUAAUUAUUAAAUAGUCUCAAACAAAUAAAGAUACUCUCGACGGAACCACCACACAGGGACACUGUUGACUGGUUGACUCCAAGCCUAGUACUCGUAACGGUAGUCCUCAUUCCAAACAUCAUUAUUUGCAUAACCUGGGGUGUUGGGAAAUUGCAAGAGUCAGCACAUAUCGUACUCAACAAGUAUAACCAGGGGUUCAUGAGGCUCAAAUAGCUGACACUGGUUUAACUGCAUUUAGCUUUUAUACGUAGGUAGCAUAUUUGUAUUUAGAUAGCAAAUGUCAAGGUAGCAUAAUUAAAUCCCAUAACCACAUGAUCAAUGUAUACAAGAAUUAAGAAUAACACAUAUAAACAACUUAAUAAACCAUCAUUUAUCAUCAUUAAUCAUGUUCAUCAGUGUCCAUCUAUUCCAUCAGUUUUCCGGGCCACCCGUAUCCGUGGGCACGGCUAGUAUACCAGAUUUAACACUCUGCAGAGGUUGUACAUCUUUAUCCAUGAGUCGUGAUUUACCCUUUCGCCCGAGAUUGCAAGUCUCUUAACCCCCUUCCUAGGGAGGUCGGCAGGGAUCACUAUGAAGCCUUUCAAAGGUUUCGUCUAACAAGUUAGGGCCAUUAGAUUCACUCGGCAGGCAGAUAUAGAGCCCACCUUCCAUGGCACAUAACUCGCAGCCUAUACACACAGACAGAGGCUGCACUAUACCCAACGUGUCUAGCCAUUCUUACGCCAUUUAAGGUAACCGCUAACAAGCUAGAAAAAUAUCCUCAUACUGAGCUAAAACCAGAGCCAUAUAUCCCUCAUGGUUGUACGAGUUGUCCCAGCUUUUGCCAAGGGAUAUGUCCUUAUGGAGGGUCAAGAUCAAUCUAGCAAAAGUUAGAGUUCUUUCCACCCUUUAUGUUCAAGUUGCUAAAAAGCUUAUUUUAUUGUUUAUUAUUUAUCCAAAUAUUCAUGUUACAAGAUCAUGGAUUAUAAUCAAGCACUAGCAAGAACUACCCAAAUACAUAUCCAAAUAGGUAACAAGGAAUUCAGGAUAACAAUCAUCUAUGAUUUUGCUAAGGUCAUCAAGGUGGACACAUGCAUAUGAUAUAUUGUAUUAAUUGUGUAUAGGUAACAAGGAUGAUCCUAAGUUAUACUUGCCUUGAUCAAAACUCUCCUGAGCCUGCUGGUCGUCAAAAGAUUGGCCUUGAUCACCAACGUAAAGCUCACCGACUAAACUCGAUCAUCAAUCAACAACACGCAUUCCAAUGAACAAUCAUACACCAAGCAAACAAGUUAUAAUUAGAAUAAUACACCAACAGUGAUAAAACAAUUGUAAAAGUUUAUAAAAAUAUUCUACGCAGCGCUACAAUCACACAAACAUAAAGUUCACGAAAAUCGAAAUUAAAACUGAGAAGUUAUGAAUUUUCUAAGAUUUCCUAUAGAAUAAUAAUUAAUUAAAUAUUACCACGAAAUUAAAAAGUUUCGAACUGGUGAUACAGUACUUCUAACAUGUAGAGUUCGCAAAGACGAAACUAACGCAAUUUGAAUGGGUUAAAACGGAGUUAAAAUGAGCAUUUUAUGGCCUAAAGAAACUCAAUGGCAUGUUUGUAAAUUCUGAAAAACGUAUUAUGGUGUUAACCCGAGGCUUUACGCUUCUCCAAGAGCAAAGCGUAUUCUCUGAAAGGCGCCAUGGACUACGGGUUCUAAUUGGGACAAGCCGAGGGUCUCUUUAGCAAUUGUCGCAGCCGAAAGGGUAUCGGGCACCCUGGGCCGUUUGAUGAGCGAGGGACGGCUCAGAUUAGAUGCAAGAGAGAGAGAGAAGGGGGACUCGGCCGCCGGCGUGGCUCUCCACGGCGGCACCAUGGUCGCAGCCCUGAGAGCUCGUUGGAGCUCAUGGCCUCGGCGAUUUAGGGCACCAUUUUAUGAACCGAUAGCAUGGGAAGGACGCGGGGCUUCUUGCGAACUCACCAGUGCUCUUAUCGCGACCCGAGGGAGCUAGGAAGGAAACGACCACGCGUGGGAAGCUCGGCGAGAUCCACUCCUCGACGUCGGUGGCGGCUAGGGCUUCUCAGACGCUCUUAGAUCGAAAAAGUGGGUGUGGGGCGGGGCUAGGAGCUUAACUAGUGCUCGGUUUGCGCUUGAACUAGGAAAUCGCGAAGAGUUCGGGAUUGGUUGCCAUCGAGUGUCUGGCUCGGUGACGGCGCGAGGAAGGAGAUGGAGGAGGACGCUGACGUGUGGACCCCACGUGUCAGAGGCCAGAUUGAAAAGGGAAAGGGUCAGGCGCGCGGCUGGGCCGUUGGCUCUAGGUUUAGGCCGGGUGGGGGGCUGGGCUGCCGCUUGGGUAGCUGGGCCGAGCGAGGGAGAGGUGCCGAGCUGGCUUGCUGCUGGGCCGAGCUGCUGUUGCUGCGCUGGGCUGGGGUUUUCCCCUUUUUUCUAUUUUCUUUUCUAAAGUCUUUUCAAAUAGAGAAUGAAUUCCUUUAGACUUUAAACAAAAACACACAGCACCAACAUGUUUCUAUCCCUAUGUUGGAUUUUAUUUUCAAUAAAAUUUAUUUAUUUACUAAUUUAAAUGCUCACAAAAAUGCUUAGAUAAAUCAAAUUUAAUCUAUAACUCUUAUAAUCCUAAACCCCAUUAAAUAUUUCUCUAAGCAUGCAAGCUAUCCACCUAAGCAAUACACUACCAUAUUCAAUUAAAAUCCACUAAGUAAAACCUCAAUAGCUAUUUAUCUCAACAUGCAAUAAUGCACUACCACAUAUACAAUUAAAAUCCAAUAGCACACAUGGAAACUGUGAUUGUCCACGUCAGCAAGACAAAUAAGUAUAGCCCAUAUCAUCAUACACACAAUCUACUAAUCCGCAAUUCCCGUAGUAACGCGCGGGGUAUGCUCCUAGUUCUAAUAGUUAGAAAGCAAAUUUUUUGGUGUUACAAGAUUGGGGUUAAUACCGAAGUUUGGAGAUUAUCUUCUGUUGUUUGCUGCUUAAGGUUAUCUCUGAUAUGCAUUGUCUUUUUAUAUUGCCCCUUAUUUGUAGCUAUAUGUGAGAUUUGAUGUCUAAGACUCACAUAUGGUGUUUAUCUCAUUUUGUUCUUAAAAUCGGGGUAUUACAAAGUGGUAUCAAACUAAUGCUCACUGUAGGACGCAACCCUAGUUAGAAAUUGGCGGUCUUAAGGUUUUGAAAUUAUCAUUAAAUUCUUGUUCUAUAGACCUUGAUAUUUUCACCUAUACUAUAUCCCUUUCCUUGCUAUAUUUUUAAUGUUUGACUUAACCUUAUUUAAAAUGAUAUCUAAAUCCAAUAAGAGAGUGAUAUCAUCACAACAUCCGACGUCCCUCCUCCUAAUCUCAUAAUUGCUACAAAACAUCAUUUUUUUCAACACGUCUAUAUUAUUUUUAAAAUAAUACAACACACCGAUACCAAUACUUAUUUAGGUCCUGUUUAGUUGACGCUAAAAUUUAUUUUUUUUUCGAAAUUUCACAUCACAUCGAAUCUUACCGCACAUGUAUGAGACAUUAAAUAUAGAUAAAAAAUAACUAAUUACACAGUUUAUCUGUAGUUUACAAGACGAAUUUUUUGAGCCUAGUUAGUCUAUAGAUGGACAAUAAUUGUUAGAUACAAACGCAAGUGCUACAUCACCUGAAUCCAAAAGUUUUCCCAACUAAACAAGGCCCUAGUUAGAGCAUCUCUAAGAGAUUUUCCAUAUCCUUUUUAAAUGCCACAAUAGAGGUUUUGGUGAAUAAUUGUUCUCCAAUAGCUUAUCUAAAUGGUCAUUCAAAUAUAGUUAUCUUUUAUUUUAGAUUUUUUUAUUAGCCAAAUAUAUAAAACGAGAAUGACUAUUUAGAGUUCGUAUGAGAUAUAGAAAAACUGUCAAUGAAAAGAUAUAGAAAAUAAUUUUUAAAUAAACAUCUUUCUAAAUAAUGAUUCAGAGUGAAAUUUAUAAAUGCUGUUAGAGAUGCUCUUAGAGCAACUCCAACAGUUUGCUAAAAGUAUUUGCAUCCUAGGAUUUUUGUCAAAACCACAAAAAAACAAGGCAAAAUUCACCCUUCACUUGGCAAAUAUGCCAAGUCCUCCAUGGCUUAGCAUCACGUGUAUCCCAAUAUGCCAACUAGUCUUGCCAAUUUGUUGGAGGCUCAAUUUUGUGAUGUUGGCAAAAAUCUUAGGAUGCUAAGCUCUUUUUUGCCAAGCCCAAAUAGCAAACUGUUGAACGUCUCUUUUUUUACUUGAUAUUUGAUUUUGAGACUUGGCAAAACUAUAAAUUUGCCAAGUGACCUUGUUUAGUUUGCAAAAUUUUUUGUUUUUGGCUACUGUAGCAUUUCGUUUUUAUUUGACAAACAUUGUUCAAUCACGGAGUAACUAAGCUCAAAAGAUUCAUCUCACAAAUUACAGGUAAACUGUGCAGUUAGUUUUUAUUUUCGUCUAUAUUUAAUGCUCUAUGCAUGCGACCAAAUAUUUGAUGUGAUGGAGAAUCUUGAAAAUUUUUGCAAACUAAACAAGGCAUGAGUUUUAGCAAACUAUAUAUUGCAGUUGCUAUAUUAUGAUAUGAAUUCGUUAAGAAAGCUGAAAGCGUGCGAAACUAAAAGACAGUCCCGGUGGAUCAUCGGAAAAAUAUCUUUGGAACAUAGUUGAUAUUAUUGCUGUAAAUAGGGGCUUACAUGAAAAAUCGUACCACCUAGAAGAUUAUGAGUCUCGAAAAAAAUAUCUAAACAUCAACUACUUCCUAUAAAGUGGAGAGUAGCGGGGAGAACCCGAGAAACCCAAUCCAGACAAGCAAGGAAUCCCCGAUGGCUCAUCGCGUUCUCCUCCUCCUUUCUCUCGCGGCGGCCGUCGCGGUAGCCGCCGCCGUCGACACGGAGGAUCCGCUGAUCCGGCAGGUGGUUCCCGGCGGAGAUGACAACGAGCUGGAGCUGAACGCGGAGUCCCACUUCCUGAGCUUUGUGCAGCGGUUCGGCAAGUCCUACAAGGACGCCGAAGAGCACGCGUACCGGCUGUCCAUCUUCAAGGCCAACCUGCGCCGCGCGCGCCGGCACCAGCUGCUGGACCCGUCGGCGGAGCACGGCGUCACUAAGUUCUCCGACCUGACGCCGGCCGAGUUCCGCCGGACCUACCUCGGCCUCCGUAAGUCACGGCGCGCGCUCCUCAGAGAGCUCGGGAAGUCGGCGAACGAGGCGCCUGUGCUCCCCACCGAUGGCCUGCCCGACGACUUCGAUUGGAGGGACCACGGCGCCGUCACCCCUGUCAAGAACCAGGUCGGUUUCCACCGAAUCUGCAUGGAUCCACAGAUCGGGGCCGUUCUUUCAUGGUUUCCCGAUCUAUUUGGGUCUUUCCUCUAUCUAAAUGACUCCUCAAUUUCCU
rnacentral:lncRNA from 1 species